rnacentral:rRNA from 1 species
UACGUAGGGGGCAAGCGUUGUCCGGAAUCAUUGGGCGUAAAGAGCGUGUAGGCGGUUCGGUAAGUCGGCUGUGAAAGUCCAGGGCUCAACCCUGGGAUGCCGGUCGAUACUGCCGGACUAGAGUUCGGAAGAGGCGAGUGGAAUUCCCGGUGUAGCGGUGAAAUGCGCAGAUAUCGGGAGGAACACCUAUGGCGAAGGCAGCUCGCUGGGACGUUACUGACGCUGAGAACGCGAAAGCGUGGG